CAAUAGCGUAUAUUAAAGUUGUUGCAGUUAAAAAGCUCGUAGUUGGAUUUGUGGCGUACGGUGUGUUCCGGGCACUUGUUGUCUGAGUAACCUGCUGUUGCCAUCCUUGGGUGGAACCUGUGUGGCAUUAGGUUGUCGUGUAGGGGAUGCCCAUCAUUUACUGUGAAAAAAUUAGAGUGUUCAAAGCAGGCUUAUGCCGUUGAAUAUAUUAGCAUGGAAUAAUGAGAUAGGACUUUUUUGCUAUUUUGUUGGUUUGCGCAAGAAGGUAAUGAUUAAUAGGGACAGUUGGGGGUAUUCGUAUUCCAUUGUCAGAGGUGAAAUUCUUGGAUUUUUGGAAGACGAACUACUGCGAAAGCAUUUACCAAGGAUGUUUUCAUUAA
rnacentral:rRNA from 1 species